rnacentral:rRNA from 1 species
GACGAACGCUGGCGGCGUGCUUAACACAUGCAAGUCGAGCGGAAAGGCCCUUUCGGGGGUACUCGAGCGGCGAACGGGUGAGUAACACGUGAGUAAUCUGCCCUUGGCUUUGGGAUAACCACCGGAAACGGUGGCUAAUACCGGAUAUGACGGGCUCCGGCAUCGGGGUUCGUGGAAAGUUUUUCGGCCAGGGAUGUGCUCGCGGCCUAUCAGCUUGUUGGUGGGGUAAUGGCCUACCAAGGCUUCGACGGGUAGCCGGCCUGAGAGGGUGACCGGCCACACUGGGACUGAGACACGGCCCAGACUCCUACGGGAGGCAGCAGUGGGGGAUAUUGGACAAUGGGCGGAAGCCUGAUCCAGCAACGCCGCGUGAGGGAUGACGGCCUCGGUUGUAACGUAC